UACGAAGGGGGCUAGCGUUGCUCGGAAUCACUGGGCGUAAAGCGCACGUAGGCGGAUUACUAAGUCAGGGGUGAAAUCCUGGAGCUCAACUCCAGAACUGCCUUUGAUACUGGCGAUCUUGAGUCCGGGAGAGGUGAGUGGAACUCCGAGUGUAGAGGUGAAAUUCGUAGAUAUUCGGAAGAACACCAGUGGCGAAGGCGGCUCACUGGCCCGGUACUGACGCUGAGGUGCGAAAGCGUGGGGAGCAAACAGG
rnacentral:rRNA from 1 species